CAGAGUCCUCAAAUUGCUGUUCCACGAGUUCUAACCAGGUUUUUAGCUGCAUUCAGUGGGAGACACUGGGGCAAGUGUGCUUACUCUGUCUUAUGCAGAAAUGGAGCUCUCCAGAGUGUCUGGAAUAAGGAAGAGAGUCUGAAUUCAGUUGAUUGUACAUCAUGAAGUCUUUGAAAAACUCCACUGCAUACUCAUACACAAGAAAUGAACUGUUAUUUGAAGAAAAGAAAAGCCAGUAUUUCCCUCUGACAAGACAAACCCCAGAACAAAAACCAUGCAGUAUAACUCCUUCCAGUUGCUAUAUAAAUGUCGAUUGUUAAUUUACAUUUACUUUUUAGACCAUCACUUGUGACAUUCUAAUUAUAAGACCUGUAAGUCACCUUUCUCCUGCCUUUUCUUCUCUUCAACAACUUCCUGCUGACUGUCAUUCAAACCAAUCAGUUCCAACCUGCUGCACAGUUCAGUCUUCUGUCUGCAUGUUUCUACCAAUAGAAAUUAAAUGGUAAUCUACAAAUCAACUCAGUUCUAAAGAUGUACUGUUCCUUAGCUAGAUUCAGGUGAUUUCUAUCUACUACAAACAAUUCAUAAAGAUGUAAAACAGUUGUAUUCAUUUAAGUAUGGUCAAGAAAAAAAUAAUUAUUUAUGAAUCUCACAUCAUCUCACAUCAUUAUUUUUCCCAAAUUUAAGAAGACACACAAUUUCAAAUUUUCCUUUCCACAAGCAAGCAGAAACAGUAUUAUGGUGACUUUUUCAGGCAAUAUUUGGCUUUAUUAUCUUAUUAUUUAAAUCCACACCCACCUUAGCAAACCUAAGUUUACUACUAGGCCAGCACCCCACUGAACAACAGCACAUGCUCUGGAGCAGAGGACCUGGGUUUGAAUCCUGAAGCUGCACUUGCAACGUGACUGAGUAAGUUACUUAAUCUGUGCCUCACUUUUCUCAGCUUUUAAAAUGAAGAUAAUAACAGCAUCUGCCUCAUAAGUGGAUGACAGGAUUAAAUGAGAUAAUGAAUAAAUGAGUAAAGCACUUAAAACUCUGCCUAACACAUAAUAAAUACUCAAUGUUAACUUCUGUUUUUGUAUAUUUGUCUUCUAAAAUAGUCAGAGCAGGGACUUCCCUGGUGGUCCAGUGGUUAUGAACCCACCUUCCAAUGCAGGGGACGCAGGUUUGAUCCCUGGUCGGAGUACUAAGAUCCUACAUGCCGCGGGGCAACUAAGCCCGUGUGCUGCAACUACAGAGCCCACGCGCUCUGGAGC